rnacentral:rRNA from 1 species
CCUACGGGAGGCAGCAGUAGGGAAUCUUUCACAAUGGGCGAAAGCCUGAUGGAGCAACGCCGCGUGCAGGAUGAAGGCCUUCGGGUUGUAAACUGCUUUUAUAAGCGAGAAAUAUGAUGGUAACUUAUGAAUAAGGAUCGGCUAACUACGUGCCAGCAGCCGCGGUCAUACGUAGGAUCCGAGCAUUAUCCGGAGUGACUGGGUGUAAAGAGUUGCGUAGGUGGCAUAAUAAGUAGCUAGUGAAAUCUGGUGGCUCAACCAUUCAGACUAUUAGCUAAACUGUUAAGCUCGAGACCGUUAGGGGUAACUGGAAUUUCUAGUGUAGGAGUGAAAUCCGUAGAUAUUAGAAGGAACACCAAUAGCGUAGGCAGGUUGCUGGGACGGGUCUGACACUAAGGCACGAAAGCGUAGGGAGCAAACGGGAUUAGAUACCCCUGUAGUC